rnacentral:misc_RNA from 1 species
AAGUCGUAACAAGGUCUCCGUAGGUGAACCUGCGGAAGGAUCAUUAACACGUAUCCAACCGUUAAAUAGCCCGGAAAGUAGCUUUAUUCAGAGAACUCUGGCCCGUGCAAACAUUGGAACAGUUACAAUCGACUGCGGUAGUUCUAUAGGCAUUGUUUCCCCAAGCAGUCAGUGUCUGAAAGUGUCAUAGAUUGUGCAAGGAUAGCGCUUCACGAUUCCUGCAGACCGUAAACUCGGGCAGGAGCUAUGCCAAAGGGUCCCCAUGCCCCCUUGUAACCCCAAUGGGAAGCUCAAUGUAAUACAUUGGGUAAAAAAACCGAACAACUGUUAACAAUGGAUAUCUUGGUUCUC